ACCUGAUAUUUCUCUGGAUUGACUACAGAGUGUGAUUCAGACAGUGACAGGUGUGAGUCAGCAGGUGCAUGUGCACUGUGCAGUGUGACUCAGUGACAGGUGUGAGUCAGCAGGUGCAUGUGCACUGAGCAGUGACUCAGACAGUGACAGGUGUGAGUCAGCAGGUGCAUGUGCACUGAGCAGUGUGACUCAGUGACAGGUGUGAGUCAGCAGGUGCAUGUGCACUGUGCAGUGUGACUUAGUGACAGGUGUGAGUCAGCAGGUGCAUGUGUACUGUGCAGUGUGACUCAGUGACAGGUGUGAGUCAGCAGGUGCAUGUGCACUGUGCAGUGUGACUCAGUGACAGGUGUGAGUCAGCAGGUGAAUGUGCACUGCACAGUGUGACUCAGUGACAGGUGUGAGUCAGCAGGUGCAUGUGCACUGUGCAGUGUGACCCAGUGACAGGUGUGAGUAAGCAGGUGCAUGUACACUGUGCAGUGUGACACAGAGAGUGACAGGUGUGAGUCAGCAGGUGCAUGUGCACUGUGCAGUGACUCAGAGAGUGACAGGUGUGAGUCAGCAGGUGCAUGUGCACUGAGCAGUGUGACUAAGUGACAGGUGUGAGUCAGCAGGUGCAUGUGCACUGUGCAGUGUGACUCAGUGACAGGUGUGAGUCAGCAGGUGCAUGUGCACUGUGCAGUGUGACUCAGUGACAGGUGUGAGUCAGCAGGUGCAUGUGCACUGUGCAGUGACUCAGAGAGUGACAGGUGUGAGUCAGCAGGUGCAUGUGCACUGUGCAGUGUGACUCAGUGACAGGUGUGAGUCAGCAGGUGCAUGUGCACUGUGCAGUGUGACUCAGUGACAGGUGUGAGUCAGCAGGUGCAUGUGCACUGUGCAGUGUGACUCAGUGACAGGUGUGAGUCAGCAGGUGCAUGUGCACUGUGCAGUGACUCAGAGAGUGACAGGUGUGAGUCAGCAGGUGCAUGUGCACUGAGCAGUGUGACUAAGUGACAGGUGUGAGUCAGCAGGUGCAUGUGCACUGUGCAGUGUGACUCAGUGACAGGUGUGAGUCAGCAGGUGCAUGUGCACUGUGCAGUGUGACUCAGUGACAGGUGUGAGUCAGCAGGUGCAUGUGCACUGUGCAGUGACUCAGAGAGUGACAGGUGUGAGUCAGCAGGUGCAUGUGCACUGUGCAGUGUGACUCAGUGACAGGUGUGAGUCAGCAGGUGCAUGUGCACUGUGCAGUGUGACUCAGUGACAGGUGUGAGUCAGCAGGUGCAUGUGCACUGUGCAGUGUGACUCAGUGACAGGUGUGAGUCAGCAGGUGCAUGUGCACUGUGCAGUGUGACUCAGUGACAGGUGUGAGUCAGCAGGUGCAUGUGCACUGUGCAGUGACUCAGAGAGUGACAGGUGUGAGUCAGCAGGUGCAUGUGCACUGUGCAGUGACUCAGUGACAGGUGUGAGUCAGCAGGUGCAUGUGCACUGUGCAGUGUGACUCAGUGACGGGUGUGAGUCAGCAGGUGCAUGUGCACUACUGGGUGUGACCCAGACAGUGGGAUAUGUGUUGAAUCAAUAGCUGUAGCCUUUCUGGGAAUCUUGCCCUUUGCUAGUUCUCUAGCUGGUGCUCUGUCCUCCAUUUGCCGAGGGGCAGCCCCUGCCACCCACAGCUGGUAUCUGAGUUGAUCAGCUGGUUGUUUUUAGAUGUUGAACAGCUGACCGUGAUCAAAGGCACAAGCUUAUUUUGGGGGCACUUGUGUCUAAUUCUGGGCUAUUUCAUCUCUCUGUCUAGGUGUCUGGACUUUCCAGGGCGAGGUUGUGGUCUCUCAGAGUGUCACUCAGGAGGCCAGAGGAGGGCUGGUUGCUGUGCCAAUUUCUGUGCAGGUGCAGAGGUGGGUGGUGUUCACAGAGCCUGAUGUGAGGUCACAGCCACCUGGGGAUACCAUAUAGCUGGACUGGCUGGGUGGCCUGGGGUCAUGGAAGGAUGAAGGGCAGGGCAGGAGCUCCACCAAGCCCAGGCUCCAGAUGACCCAGGGGAAGUGAGGGAGGCUGUGUGCCUGCCUAAGCGAGGUCCCUGGGGGAGAGCCUGGGCGGCUGAGGCUCACUGGAACCAUCAGCAGGGGCCUUGGACAGGGGAAGUGAAAGCAGCUGGCAUUGCCAGCUGAGCCUCAGACCAGGGAGCAACGUGCACAAGGACUCCGAGUCUGGAGAAGCAGCAUCCGAGCCCCCGCGGAGCCUUCCGGCUGCCAGGGCUGUGGGAGGUUCUGGGACACGAGGUUCCCCAGGGAAAUCAGGAGCGAGCGAGUUUCGAGAUCCAGGCUGAGACUUCCUCUGUACCCCCUCAGGAGAGCAGUGUUCCCUGGGCAGUGUGGUUCUCGGGGGACCCAGCAGUCACCCUGCUCCCAGGGUGGGGGCAGGUGUUGGCAGCUGAAGAACUGAGAAACAGAGACCCCUGUCCACAGGCGCAAGUUAGAGGAAGCCAUGGCCAUUGUGUGGAACCCGGCGUGCAGGACCCAGGAGAGCCGUGUCUUUUCCAGGGCCCUUUCCCACACCAUUCCUGCCACUCUCCUUGUCUGUCCCAGGGAACUGAGCACUGCCACAGCUAUUUUACUCAAUGGUGCACUAAACAUUUGUAAAUACCACAAUCACGUAUAUAUUAGUAAACAGUAGUAGUGUACUUCUAAUUCAUUAGGUCCCAACACAAAGGGAAUAUACUGCCUGGCUGGCCCCCAUCUGUAGUCAAAGAAACCCAAGGAGACCAGGGUAGCUGUAGGAGAUGAUCUAAGAUAAAGAAAAGAGAGAGAGAGAGAGAGAGAGAGAGAGAGAGAGAGAGAGAGAGAAAGAGAGGGAGGGGGAGGGAGAGAGGGAGGAGAUAGAUAAGACAACAUGAGACAGGAUGGAUGUGCAAACAGAUAGAUAGGAGACAGACACAGAAAGAUGACAGAAACAGAAACUGACAGAGCACAGGUAGAAUGGAUGGACAGAUGGAUGGAUGGCAGAUAGGUAGACACAUAGAUGACAGACAGAUGUAUAAGGCAGAUGACUGUAUUACUCAUCAUCUCACUGCCGUAACAAAAUAUCCAAGGAAGCCUGCUUCCGUGAGAAGAGGUUUACUCUGGAGUCCAUGCAGCAUGACACUGGUUUUGCAAGGGCCCCUUGGGCUGCACACUCCGUGGCAGGAGUUUGUGUGUCUCUGUGGUCCUCCUCUGCCUCUCCUUAUAAAGGCACCGAGACUCAAUUACAAGCACAUGGCUCUGAGAACUGACUAAUUCAAUCAAUCACUUCAGCCUCUGACAGCAUCGUAUGUGACUUUUCACCCCAUGCCUCUGGGGUUUAAACCCCUGCAUGAGCUUGGAUAGCAAGUCAUAUUCACACCACACUGAUGAUGGACAGUUAGGAAGACAGAAUGCACUCUUUGUUUAUUAAAAAAAAGUUCAUUAAUGCAAAAAUAAGAGAUUUUCAAAAAGUUCAGGGGAAAAUGCACAUUACAGCAAAAGCUUUGCAUGGAUUUCAAAUUUUUUGUGCCAAAAUUAACUUAACUUUAAUUUUGUUUUUCCACAAAGUUUUUGAAGUAUCCCUGCAUAUAGCUAGCUAGCUAGCUAGCUAGCAAGCAAGGAAGAAGGAAGGAAGGAAGGAAGGAAGGAAGGAAGGAAGGAAGGAAGGAAGGAAGGAAAGAAGGAAGGAAGGGAGGGAGGAAGGGAGGGAGGGAGGGAGGAAUGGAGGAAGGAAGGAAGCCACACUUUAAAGCAUAACAGCUUAACUGGGUAUUCAGGUUUUCUACUUAAUGAAGGCUAAAAGCACAGCUUCUGUGGUCUGGGGACACGACAGGGUCCACACACACUUAUCUCAGGACAAAUGAACGGCUGUAGGCGUGGAGGUUGGCAACAGCCUGGUGAGUUUGGGGGGGGGGGGGACA